GAGGUGUCAGAAAAGUUACCACAGG
rnacentral:ncRNA from 2 species